ensembl:ncRNA B0001.12 ncRNA
CCGGUGCUAAUCGAGUUUUCACUAUAGAGAGGGCUCUAAAAGACAACACGAGAUAGGGAAAUUCCCACGAGAGCCUCUUCUUUUCCACCCAUUUCGAGCUCAUCAUCAAUAAACGAGCGACACGUUGGGAGAGAGAGAGAGAGACAUAGG